rnacentral:misc_RNA from 1 species
CAAACUGCUGGGCUGAACAUCAAGUCACCGUUAACACUUGGGUCUUUCCUCAACUCAGACAAGCACCAUGUCGCCGAUACCCAUCACUAGAGAAGUUGCUUCGUCAUCCUGCGAUUUUUCAAUUGAUGAUGAUGAUAAUGAGCAGAAGACGUCUUUCUGUCCUCAGAUUAUACACAAAACGUCUUCAUGCUUCCCCUUGGAUCAGCCACACGCGCCUCCUCGCGGUCAGCAGAAAU